rnacentral:rRNA from 1 species
UACGAAGGGUGCAAGCGUUACUCGGAAUUACUGGGCGUAAAGCGUGCGUAGGUGGUUUGUUAAGUCUGAUGUGAAAGCCCCGGGCUCAACCUGGGAACUGCAUUGGAAACUGGCGAGCUUGAGUAUGGCAGAUGGGGGGUGGAAUUCCGGCGUGUAGCAGUGAAAUGCGUAGAGAUGCGGAGGAACACCGAUGGCGAAGGCAGCCCCCUGGGCCAAUACUGACGCCUCAGGCACGAAAGCGUGGGGAGCAAACAGG